rnacentral:rRNA from 1 species
AUUGAACGCUGGCGGCAUGCCUUACACAUGCAAGUCGAACGGCAGCACGGGAGCAAUCCUGGUGGCGAGUGGCGAACGGGUGAGUAAUAUAUCGGAACGUGCCCAGUCGUGGGGGGUAACGUAGAGUAAGCUACGCUAAUACCGCAUACGAUCUAUGGAUGAAAGCGGGGGAUCGCAAGACCUCGCGCGAUUGGAGCGGCCGAUAUCAGAUUAGGUAGUUGGUGAGGUAAAGGCUCACCAAGCCGACGAUCUGUAGCUGGUCUGAGAGGACGACCAGCCACACUGGGACUGAGACACGGCCCAGACUCCUACGGGAGGCAGCAGUGGGGAAUUUUGGACAAUGGGCGCAAGCCUGAUCCAGCAAUGCCGCGUGCAGGAUGAAGGCCUUCGGGUUGUAAACUGCUUUUGUACGGAACGAAACGGCGAGCUCUAAUACAGUUUGCUAAUGACGGUACCGUAAGAAUAAGCACCGGCUAACUACGUGCCAGCCGCCGCAGUAA